rnacentral:tRNA from 1 species
GGAGUGUUGCGAUAGUGGUUAUUCGGCGAGACUUGAAUUUACGUAAUUAAAUUGAUCUCGUGCCGUCAGGCUCACAGGUUCGAACCCUGUAUGCUCCG